GGGGCCACUGUAGCUCAGUGGAAGAGCAUCUGUUUUGCAUGCAGAAGGAUCCAGGUUCAAUCCUGGGCAUCUCCA
rnacentral:tRNA from 1 species